rnacentral:misc_RNA from 1 species
GAUGAAGAACGUAGCGAAAUGCGAUACGUAAUGUGAAUUGCAGAAUUCAGUGAAUCAUCGAAUCUUUGAACGCACAUUGCGCCCGCCAGCACUCUGGCGGGCAUGCCUGUUCGAGCGUCAUUUCAACCAUCAAGCCCUGCUUGCGUUGGGGUCCUGCGGCUGCCCGCAGGCCCUGAAAACCAGUGGCGGGCUCGCUAGUCACACCGAGCGCAGUAAUACAUCUCGCUUUGGGCGUGCGGCGGGUUCUUGCCGUUAAACACCCCCUUUUUACCAAGGUUGACCUCGGAUCAGGUAGGAAUACCCGCUGAACUUAAGCAUAUCAAUAAGCGGAGGA